rnacentral:tRNA from 1 species
GGGGGUUUAGCUCAGUGGCAUAAGCACCUGCCUUGAAAGCAGGCAGUCGUGAGUUCGAUCCCCGUUACCGAUA